rnacentral:miRNA from 1 species
CUCCCCAGUUAUGACAACCAAA